CGUCUACAUCAUGUCGAAACAUCAGUUCCCGUACGAUCACCAAAGAUAAGCAUCGUCGAGCUUGGUCAAUAUUUAGAUGGGUGACCGCUUGGGAAUACCUGUCGCUGUAA